rnacentral:rRNA from 1 species
GACAGAGGCCUCGAGCGUUAGGCGGAAUCACUGGGCUUAAAGCGCGUGUAGGCGGAUCGUUAAGUGCCUUGUGAAAUCCUGCGGCUCAACCGCAGAACCGCUGGGCAUACUGGCGGUCUUGGGCCACUCAGGGGUCACUGGAACAAGCGGUGGAGCGGUGAAAUGCGUAGAUAUCGCUUGGAACGCCAAAGGCGAAAGCAGACGACUGGGAUUGCGCUGACGCUGAGACACGAAAGCCAGGGGAGCAAACGGG